rnacentral:rRNA from 1 species
UUAAGCGACUAAGCGUACACGGUGGAUGCCCUGGCAGUCAGAGGCGAUGAAGGACGUGCUAAUCUGCGAUAAGCGUCGGUAAGGUGAUAUGAACCGUUAUAACCGGCGAUUUCCGAAUGGGGAAACCCAGUGUGAUUCGUCACACUAUCAUUAACUGAAUCCAUAGGUUAAUGAGGCGAACCGGGGGAACUGAAACAUCUAAGUACCCCGAGGAAAAGAAAUCAACCGAGAUUCCCCCAGUAGCGGCGAGCGAACGGGGAGCAGCCCAGAGCCUGAAUCAGUGUGUGUGUUAGUGGAAGCGUCUGGAAAGGCGCGCGAUACAGGGUGACAGCCCCGUACACAAAAAUGCACAUGCUGUGAGCUCGAUGAGUAGGGCGGGACACGUGGUAUCCUGUCUGAAUAUGGGGGGACCAUCCUCCAAGGCUAAAUACUCCUGACUGACCGAUAGUGAACCAGUACCGUGAGGGAAAGGCGAAAAGAACCCCGGCGAGGGGAGUGAAAAAGAACCUGAAACCGUGUACGUACAAGCAGUGGGAGCACGCUUAGGCGUGUGACUGCGUACCUUUUGUAUAAUGGGUCAGCGACUUAUAUUCUGUAGCAAGGUUAACCGAAUAGGGGAGCCGAAGGGAAACCGAGUCUUAACUGGGCGUUAAGUUGCAGGGUAUAGACCCGAAACCCGGUGAUCUAGCCAUGGGCAGGUUGAAGGUUGGGUAACACUAACUGGAGGACCGAACCGACUAAUGUUGAAAAAUUAGCGGAUGACUUGUGGCUGGGGGUGAAAGGCCAAUCAAACCGGGAGAUAGCUGGUUCUCCCCGAAAGCUAUUUAGGUAGCGCCUCGUGAAUUCAUCUCCGGGGGUAGAGCACUGUUUCGGCAAGGGGGUCAUCCCGACUUACCAACCCGAUGCAAACUGCGAAUACCGGAGAAUGUUAUCACGGGAGACACACGGCGGGUGCUAACGUCCGUCGUGAAGAGGGAAACAACCCAGACCGCCAGCUAAGGUCCCAAAGUCAUGGUUAAGUGGGAAACGAUGUGGGAAGGCCCAGACAGCCAGGAUGUUGGCUUAGAAGCAGCCAUCAUUUAAAGAAAGCGUAAUAGCUCACUGGUCGAGUCGGCCUGCGCGGAAGAUGUAACGGGGCUAAACCAUGCACCGAAGCUGCGGCAGCGACGCUUAUGCGUUGUUGGGUAGGGGAGCGUUCUGUAAGCCUGCGAAGGUGUGCUGUGAGGCAUGCUGGAGGUAUCAGAAGUGCGAAUGCUGACAUAAGUAACGAUAAAGCGGGUGAAAAGCCCGCUCGCCGGAAGACCAAGGGUUCCUGUCCAACGUUAAUCGGGGCAGGGUGAGUCGACCCCUAAGGCGAGGCCGAAAGGCGUAGUCGAUGGGAAACAGGUUAAUAUUCCUGUACUUGGUGUUACUGCGAAGGGGGGACGGAGAAGGCUAUGUUGGCCGGGCGACGGUUGUCCCGGUUUAAGCGUGUAGGCUGGUUUUCCAGGCAAAUCCGGAAAAUCAAGGCUGAGGCGUGAUGACGAGGCACUACGGUGCUGAAGCAACAAAUGCCCUGCUUCCAGGAAAAGCCUCUAAGCAUCAGGUAACAUCAAAUCGUACCCCAAACCGACACAGGUGGUCAGGUAGAGAAUACCAAGGCGCUUGAGAGAACUCGGGUGAAGGAACUAGGCAAAAUGGUGCCGUAACUUCGGGAGAAGGCACGCUGAUAUGUAGGUGAAGUCCCUCGCGGAUGGAGCUGAAAUCAGUCGAAGAUACCAGCUGGCUGCAACUGUUUAUUAAAAACACAGCACUGUGCAAACACGAAAGUGGACGUAUACGGUGUGACGCCUGCCCGGUGCCGGAAGGUUAAUUGAUGGGGUCAGCGCAAGCGAAGCUCUUGAUCGAAGCCCCGGUAAACGGCGGCCGUAACUAUAACGGUCCUAAGGUAGCGAAAUUCCUUGUCGGGUAAGUUCCGACCUGCACGAAUGGCGUAAUGAUGGCCAGGCUGUCUCCACCCGAGACUCAGUGAAAUUGAACUCGCUGUGAAGAUGCAGUGUACCCGCGGCAAGACGGAAAGACCCCGUGAACCUUUACUAUAGCUUGACACUGAACAUUGAGCCUUGAUGUGUAGGAUAGGUGGGAGGCUUUGAAGUGUGGACGCCAGUCUGCAUGGAGCCGACCUUGAAAUACCACCCUUUAAUGUUUGAUGUUCUAACGUUGACCCGUAAUCCGGGUUGCGGACAGUGUCUGGUGGGUAGUUUGACUGGGGCGGUCUCCUCCUAAAGAGUAACGGAGGAGCACGAAGGUUGGCUAAUCCUGGUCGGACAUCAGGAGGUUAGUGCAAUGGCAUAAGCCAGCUUGACUGCGAGCGUGACGGCGCGAGCAGGUGCGAAAGCAGGUCAUAGUGAUCCGGUGGUUCUGAAUGGAAGGGCCAUCGCUCAACGGAUAAAAGGUACUCCGGGGAUAACAGGCUGAUACCGCCCAAGAGUUCAUAUCGACGGCGGUGUUUGGCACCUCGAUGUCGGCUCAUCACAUCCUGGGGCUGAAGUAGGUCCCAAGGGUAUGGCUGUUCGCCAUUUAAAGUGGUACGCGAGCUGGGUUUAGAACGUCGUGAGACAGUUCGGUCCCUAUCUGCCGUGGGCGCUGGAGAACUGAGGGGGGCUGCUCCUAGUACGAGAGGACCGGAGUGGACGCAUCACUGGUGUUCGGGUUGUCAUGCCAAUGGCACUGCCCGGUAGCUAAAUGCGGAAGAGAUAAGUGCUGAAAGCAUCUAAGCACGAAACUUGCCCCGAGAUGAGUUCUCCCUGACUCCUUGAGAGUCCUGAAGGAACGUUGAAGACGACGACGUUGAUAGGCCGGGUGUGUAAGCGCAGCGAUGCGUUGAGCUAACCGGUACUAAUGAACCGUGAGGCUUAACCUU